GGGCGGUUAGCUCAGCUGGUAGAGCAUCACGUUGACAUCGUGGAGGCCGCUGGUUCAAGUCCAGUAUCGCCCACCA
rnacentral:tRNA from 1 species